CGGCAUGGCAGCCCUGCUGUGAGGACCGGACAAGGCGUCGGCCGAUUCGGCCGAGAACCAGGCGGUGCCUGGGAACAAGUCAGGACAGGUGAGAAGUACUGCAAACAUGGAGAGAUAAAGCACCAUGCCACGAUAUUACACCACCAGGGAGAAGAGAGGCAGAAGCACCUCCGGAUGGGGUCGACACCACAACAUGGGCACAUCCCUGCAACGUACAUCUGCCUGCAAAGGGCUGUUUUCUAAUCUGAGCCAGGAAGUAGUUGAGUGACCUUGAGGCAAUGACUUGUCUCAGCCAGACCGUGUGGGCCGUCCUGUCGGUGCUUCUGUCCCUUUUCAGCCAUCCCGAGCCCAGGCCUGCACCCAUCCUGUGCUGGGGCUCUCAUCCUCAUGGCAGGGCCUUUCAUUCCCAGGAAGUACAGACAUUACCAGCCACUUUUUAGGCUAUGCUGAAGUUUGCCUCAUGGAAAUCCUAUGCUCACACCCACCCAUUGAUUCAGCACAUACUUCCUGAGCAUCUGUUUUUGCCUGGCACUGGGAAGCACGGAGGACACAGUGAGGGGCAAGACAGGUCCCUGCCUUCGUGGAGCAACGUUCUACGGGAGCUUGAGAAAGAAGGCAAGUAUGUCAUCAGUGAAUGUAAAUAUAUAAAAUCAUUUCAAA